GAUGAACGCUGGCGGCGUGCCUAAUACAUGCAAGUCGAGCGAACAGAUGAGGAGCUUGCUCCUCUGACGUUAGCGGCGGACGGGUGAGUAACACGUGGAUAACCUACCUAUAAGACUGGGAUAACUUCGGGAAACCGGAGCUAAUACCGGAUAAUAUAUUGAACCGCAUGGUUCAAUAGUGAAAGACGGUUUUGCUGUCACUUAUAGAUGGAUCCGCGCCGCAUUAGCUAGUUGGUAAGGUAACGGCUUACCAAGGCAACGAUGCGUAGCCGACCUGAGAGGGUGAUAGGCCACACUGGAACUGAGACACGCUCCAGACUACUACGGGAGGCAGCAGUAGGGAAUCUUACGCAAUGGGCGAAAGCCUGACGGAGCAACGCCGCGUGAGUGAUGAAGGUCUUCGGAUCGUAAAACUCUGUUAUUAGGGAAGAACAAAUGUGUAAGUAACUAUGCACGUCUUGACGGUACCUAAUCAGAAAGCCACGGCUAACUACGUG
rnacentral:rRNA from 1 species